rnacentral:rRNA from 1 species
UGGCGGACGGGUGAGUAACACGUGAGAAUUUGCCUUUAGGAGGGGGAUAACAGAGUGAAAACGCUGCUAAUACCCCAUAUGCUUUCGAGUGAAAUGGAUUUAUUCGCCUAAAGAGAAGCUCGCGGCUGAUUAGCUUGUUGGUAAGGUAAUGGCUUACCAAGGCGACGAUCAGUAUCUGGUUUGAGAGGACGAUCAGACACACUGGAACUGAGACACGGUCCAGACUCCUACGGGAGGCAGCAGUGGGGAAUUUUCCGCAAUGGGCGAAAGCCUGACGGAGCAAUACCGCGUGAGGGAUGACUGCCUAUGGGUUGUAAACCUCUUUUCUCAGGGAGGAAAUCAAUGACGUUACCUGAGGAAUAAGCAUCGGCUAACUCCGUGCCGGCAGCCGCGGUAAGACGGAGGAUGCAAGUGUUAUCCGGAAUCACUGGGCGUAAAGCGUCUGUAGGUGGCUUAACAAGUCAACUGUUAAAUCUUGAAGCUCAACUUCGAAAUCGCAGUCG